GACGAACCGUGCAAACGUUACUCGGAAUUACUGGGCUUAAAGGGUGCGUAGGCUGCGCGGAAAGUUGGGUGUGAAAGCCCUCAGCUCAACUGAGGAAUUGCACUCAAAACUACCGUGCUCGAGUGAGACAGAGGAAAGCGGAACUCCAGGUGGAGCGGUGAAAUGCGUUGAUAUCUUGAGGAACACCGGUGGCGAAGGCGGCUUACUGGGUCUCUUCUGACGCUGAUGCACUAAAGCUAAGGUAGCAAACGGGAUUAGAUACCCCGGUAGUCUUAGCUGUAAACGAUGAGCACUUGUUUGAAGGGUCCUCCAUAGCCUUUCAGACGUAGCGAAAGUGUUAAGUGCUCCGCCUGGGGAGUAUGGUCGCAAGGCUA
rnacentral:rRNA from 1 species